rnacentral:sRNA from 1 species
UUUUUUUUUUUUUUUUUUGUUGAAAGAGUUAUUACAACUACAACUAUAACUAUAACUACAACUAUAACUACAACGAUAAGAACUAUCACUACUCUGAAGACAACGAUGUGUUUUCUCAAGAUGAUAACGGAUCUAGCUUCGCCAUCAAUAAGUAUGAGACAAAGGAGUCCAUCUUUGAUGAAACAUCCAUUUUCCUGUUGUACAUUUUUGCAGGACAACUAGCCUGAGCACAAGAGACAUGGUGUACUANACCUUGNGCGGAAUGUCUACUUCAAAACUUGCAUCUUUAUAUCUGAUAUAUAGAGAUAUAGAGAUAUAGAGAUAUAGAGAGAGGCUGAUGAUUUAUAAACACAAACGAUAAGACUUGUAACAUGAAGUUUAUCGAAAAAGUCAAUCUUUAAAUUCCUUUCUGAACCUCUCUGUUAUGUCAGUGCUUCGGUACCAUGCUUUUAGUGCGGNCAUUUAAAGGCAUAGCGAUGAUAGUUCUAAAGUUACUGUAUUGAUCAAUUGGAAGAACAUCCAAAUAAAAAAAAGCAUGCAAAAUGCUAGUAUUAUCAGUAACUGCAAAUAAAAAAAGAUAACNAAAAUUUACAGGAUCAUCGAGAAGAGUAGAUACUGAUAAUAUUGAGAUCCACAGCACUCAACAACAGUCUUGGAUUUAUUUAGCCAUUUGCUUAACUUACUGNCUCAACAAUAUUGUUGUUUGGCAUCGCCAUAAAAUAUAU